GACGAACGCUGGCGGCGUGCUUAACACAUGCAAGUCGAGCGGAAAGGCCCUUCGGGGUACUCGAGCGGCGAACGGGUGAGUAACACGUGAGUAACCUGCCCCAGACUUUGGGAUAACCCUCGGAAACGGGGGCUAAUACCGGAUACGACACAGCUUCGCAUGGGGUCUGUGUGGAAAGUUUUUCGGUUUGGGAUGGGCUCGCGGCCUAUCAGCUUGUUGGUGGGGUGAUGGCCUACCAAGGCGACGACGGGUAGCCGGCCUGAGAGGGCGACCGGCCACACUGGGACUGAGACACGGCCCAGACUCCUACGGGAGGCAGCAGUGGGGAAUAUUGCACAAUGGGCGGAAGCCCGAUGCAGCGACGCCGCGUGAGGGAUGACGGCCUUCGGGUUGUAAACCUCUUUCAGCAGGGACGAAGCGUAAGUGACGGUACCUGCAGAAGAAGCGCCGGCCAACUACGUG
rnacentral:rRNA from 1 species